rnacentral:tRNA from 1 species
AGCUCGGUAGUGUAGAGGCCAAGCAUGUAAGACCCUGGAUCUUACGACAGGAGUUCGAAUCUCCUCCGAGCUA